GGGCCUCUCACAAGGCUGCAGUCAAGCUGUUGUCUGGUUCUUCUUCUCAAGGCUCAAUGGGGGCUGGAGGAUCUCGUCCACACUCACCCAUAUGGCUGCUUUCAGGCCUCACUUCCUCACUGGCUGUUGGGCACCUUGCCAUGUGGCCUCUUCAUAGGCUGCCUGAGUGUCCUUUUCAAAUGGCAAGUGGCUUUUUCCAGAACAGCAUAUCCAAGAGAGAAAGAGAAAAGAAAAGAAGAGACAAGGAGAACCCACUGUAGAGGCUUCAGUCUUGUAAAACCUAACCUCGGAAGUGACACAUACCAUCCUUUCUGCCAUCACUGGUCAGUUUAGACCAGCUGUGGUUCACUGCAGGCAAGGGCUCCAUGAGGGUGUGAACACGAGGAGGUGGGACCGCUGUGCGGCGCCCUCGGAAGCUGCCUCCCUUAGACAACAAGGACACAGUCCGUGCUCGCUGCUGGAUGUAGAGGGUAAAGUCCCAGGAGCAACAGCUCCAGGAAAUCACAGCGGGUGGGGGGCGGCAUUCCCCAAAAAGGUCAUGCAGCGCAAACCGAAAGUACACAUCUGCCACAAAUAAAUACUGCAAUCUACUUCCUCAUCGGCCGACUCAAGGAGGGCUGUGUGGGCCAGGCUGAACCUCCAUGAAGGCAUCCUUCCUCUACCCAGGUGUCCAUACAUUCCUGCAGAAGAGCAGCCCAGUGCCCAGAGUCCUGCGGUUUUCUACAAGCCUGUUUGAGGCUGGAGUGCAGUGGUACGAUCUUGGCUCACUACAGCCUCUGCUCCCCAGGUUCAAGCACUUCUUCUGCAUCAUUCUCCUGAGUAGCUGCGAUUAUAGGUGAAGGAAACGGAGACUGAAGAAGUAAAAGAACCACCAGGAAGCGGCAGAACGGAAAUCAAAUCCAAGUACAGACGUCCAAGGCACUCUUUUGGACGUCUGUUGAGUUGUCCAAAAGACGCUCCGUUUUCUCAGCAGCUACUGUGCCUGGACCUACAUUCUGUUAAAGCAACGGAUUACUUUAGGAAUCAAAUCUCUGGUUAAUUCAGUGAGAGGGGAUCGUCCUGCAAACAUUCCAAAUAAACCCUCCUUAUGCUGCGAGAAGUCACGGAAUUCUUAUUUCUGGAUGGCUAGCUCAGUGAUUCAGCCUCACUAAUAAGCCCUGGGGGGAAAAAUACAUGUUUGUGUCCUAACUGAACUCUGCCUUCCCAUCACGCAAGAGCACUGUUUCGGCUCGAGUAAGGAGAGAAAAUUCUCAACAGAUGGCAGCCUCUGAACACUGGAAAGGGUUAUCCCUGGCCCACUUAUACCUACUGGGGCCACGCAUUCCAGGUGCGAAUGAAUGGACUGGAUCAAGUAGAGUGCACAUGUCUUUCACUCACUCUUUGAGCAUACAGCCAGUUCCAGCCACUGUACUAGAAGAGGCAAAGCGUAAUCAUCACUGACUGCAGAAGACAGUAAUGAAAUCCAGAGAUGUAUAACCUGAAUUGGAUCAUGGCGAAACAUCAUCCGAAGCCAAAUUAAUGGGCGUUUUACAAAAUCAGUUGCUUGGACUCUUCACAGGUGUCAAGCUCAUGAACGUCACUGAAAGACAGAGGAGCUGUUUCAUGUUGGAAGAUGCUAAGGUAACAUGACAAGUAACUGCGAUGCAGGUCUCUGUAUUGGGUCCUUUGGCAACGAAAAGUGUUGUUGGGACAACUCAUGAAACUUGACUGGGGUCUGAAGAUGAGGUAGCAGGAACGUACCAGACUCAACUUUCCUAUCCUGAUGGUUGAAUUGUGGUUAUGUAGGAGAAUGUCCUUGUUUAUAGAACUUCCAAACUUAAAUAUUUAAGGGUAAUGAGGCAUCACGUGGGUGUCUUACACUCUAAUUGUUCAGGGCAGACAUUCUUUGUGUUCUUUUGCAAAUUUUCAUGAAGUUUGAGGUUAUUUCAAAUAAGAAAGAGUGAUGGGGAGGGAACAGAGUGAUGGGGGAGAGGGAAGGCUUCUCUAAUAAGGUGACAUUUGACCAAGACCUGAAUGAAGUGAAGGAGCAAGUCACUGAGUAUCUGGAGGAAGAACACUCCGGGCAGAGGGAGCAGAAUGGCACCAGAUCUGUGAGGAUGACAUAUGCCUGAAGUGUUUUGAGAAAUAGCCAGGAGACUGGGGGCUCAUGCAGAGACACGAAUGAGAAAGUGGAGCAGGUGAGGUCAGGGAGGUAAUAGGGACCAAACCAAGUUCCAGCAAGGAUGUUUGGUUUUGUUCUCUGUGAUGGGAGUCAUUGGAGGGUUGGCCAGAGGAGAGACAUGACAGGACUUGUAUUUUACAAGGAUCACUGUGGCUGCUGUGUGGAAAAUAGAUGGCAGAGAGGCAGGGGUGGAAGCAAGGACACCAGUUGGAAGACUAUGGAAAUAAUUCACUUUCUGGUGGAUAGCAGGGCUACAGAAACCUACAGAAAGGCUGUGAAGAGCCACUGCCAGCCCACAGCACAGAGCACUGGGCUCUGCCCCAGCGGCAGUGAUGCCAUCUGACCACUUCUGCAUCCUAUGCCCGUCUUCCCCUGCCUCGCAAGAGGUGUCCGUCACAGAAGCUGCUCAUGGAAGGGCAGCUCUGAUCAUGACUUUCUAGGAAGGUUGAAGAGCCAGCUGCUUGCAUUGUUAAUCAAAUUUUUCUUUAUUUGGUGCAAUGCUAAAGUGUCUUUUUAAAUGAGUGAUCAUAGAAUCAAAGACAAGCUCAGGGAGAAACAUUGAAACCGUCAGAUCUUGUCUUACUGCCUGGAGCUGCCUGGCGACUUCAGCGCUUUUGUCAUGUGCGAAGUUUGCCUUGUCAAGGUCCUCGAAUGAAAGGGUCUUGAGGUUUUGUCUGAUCCCACCCAACAACGAAGAAAAAAUUCGGGCAUUGACCUCUGAUUUUUGGACCCAGAGGGACCUUGGUGAAAAAUGAUUCCAGUCCCCUCUUUUCCUUGAUCCAUCAGAUGAGUGAUAAUUUAAAAUUUAGUUGGUUUUGUUUUGCUCCAAACGUAUCCUCAUGAAGCUCCAAUGAUGGAAAGAUGUGGACUUAAGUGCUCGGAAUUGUGUUCAAUUUUCUUCUUGGAACCUCCAGUAAGAGUCUUAAGGAUAUAUCUAAAAGACAAUUUCAUAUCUUUUCUAUGUUUGGACAAGAAUGAUGCUUUAAUCUAUUAUAUGAUUCUUUUCAAACAUAAAUAUAUGCUUAUGGUAUGCUAUGUAAAACACACAUUUUAAAAAUCCAAAAGCAGGCUUACACUUGAAGAGCAACGUUUAAAAUUGUUUCUUUCCUGACUUUAAUAAACGCAUAUCUAUUGUAAAGUGCAUUUCCAUUGUCAUUCUAAGCCUCUGAGAUAGUUAAUCCCCAGUGUACAAAGCAGAGACCCAGCUUGGUUAGAGGAUGAUUUGCUUUAGGUCGGAGACAAAGCCGGUGACCUUGGCAAUGAAGCAGCUAGUUAGAGUUGAGUGAUUUCCAGGUCAGCACACAAGAGCUCUGAUCACUGAUUUUGUUGGCUUGAUAGUGACUGAACUGGUUCUCAUUCAGCCCAUAGUGCCUGUUCUUAAAUUCACUGAGAAGGGUGGUUUAUGGUUUAUGUUCAAAUUUUGUUUGAAGAGAUUUAUACUAUUUCGAGGGUAGAGAUAAAAAUAUGAUCUCCUUCCUUAACUUUCAGGAUUAUAACUCUAGGGAAAAUGAAGCAUCGUUUAAUUCUAAAAACACAACAAAAAAUACAUAAGCUUUAAUUUAAUAGCAUUGCCAUGAAUUUCAUCUUUCAAACAAUUUACAAAAGAUGUUAGGCAUUGCUAUGGUCUUUAUGUGGUCUAUGUGUGACCCUCAAAGUUCAUAUGUUGAAACUUAAUCAUCGAUGAAAUAGUAAUAAGAGAUGGGGCCUCUAGGAAGUGAUUAAAUCAUGAAUAGAUUAGUGCUUUGAUAAAAAGAAAUCGAAGGGAACAUUCUAGUAGUGCCUUUUUGCCCUUUUCACCCCUUCCACCAUGUGAGGAUACAGCAAGAGGUCCCACACCAGACACCAGUUGCAAGUGCCUUGAUCUUGGACCCUCCAGUCUUCAGAAACAAAUUUUUCUUCUUAUGAAUUAUCCAGUCUCAGAUAUUUGAUUAUGGCAGCACAAAUAGUUCAAGACAGGCAUGCUGUAAUGUUGUGAUAUGUCAAAAUUGGAGAAGCUCUGUCAAAAAUUACAGGGAUUUCUUGUGGCUAUAACCUAUGUUUGCGUCUUAUUUCCUGAAACCAUUCAUAGAUCUACUUACUUGGAUCAGAUACUUCCAAUGCAUUCUGUCACCUUAAUAGACUGAAUAAGAAAAAUAGAAAUAUCUGGGUCUUAAGCCAGGCACGGUGACUCAAGCCUGUAAUCCCAGCACUUUGGGAGGCCGAGGCGGGUGGAUCACGAGGUCAAGAGAUCGAGACCAUCCUGGUCAACAUGGUGAAACCC